UGCUGUUUCGCUGACGAGUGGCGGACGGGUGAGUAAUGUCUGGGAAACUGCCUGAUGGAGGGGGAUAACUACUGGAAACGGUAGCUAAUACCGCAUAACGUCGCAAGACCAAAGAGGGGGACCUUCGGGCCUCUUGCCAUCGGAUGUGCCCAGAUGGGAUUAGCUAGUAGGUGGGGUAACGGCUCACCUAGGCGACGAUCCCUAGCUGGUCUGAGAGGAUGACCAGCCACACUGGAACUGAGACACGGUCCAGACUCCUACGGGAGGCAGCAGUGGGGAAUAUUGCACAAUGGGCGCAAGCCUGAUGCAGCCAUGCCGCGUGUAUGAAGAAGGCCUUCGGGUUGUAAAGUACUUUCAGCGGGGAGGAAGGGAGUAAAGUUAAUACCUUUACUCAUUGACGUUACCCGCAGAAGAAGCACCGGCUAACUCCGUGCCAGCAGCCGCGGUAAUACGGAGGGUGCAAGCGUUAAUCGGAAUUACUGGGCGUAAAGCGCACGCAGGCGGUUUGUUAAGUCAGAUGUGAAAUCCCCGGGCUCAACCUGGGAACUGCAUCUGAUACUGGCAAGCUUGAGUCUCGUAGAGGGGGGUAGAAUUCCAGGUGUAGCGGUGAAAUGCGUAGAGAUCUGGAGGAAUACCGGUGGCGAAGGCGGCCCCCUGGACGAAGACUGACGCUCAGGUGCGAAAGCGUGGGGAGCAAAC
rnacentral:rRNA from 1 species